rnacentral:rRNA from 1 species
UACGUAGGCAGCGAGCGUUGUUCGGAGUUACUGGGCGUAAAGGGGGUGUAGGCGGUUGUUUAAGUUUGGUGUGAAAUCUCCCGGCUCAACCGGGAGGGUGCGCCGAAUACUGAAUGACUAGAGUGCGGGAGAGGAAAGUGGAAUUCCUGGUGUAGCGGUGAAAUGCGUAGAUAUCAGGAGGAACACCGGUGGUGUAGACGGCUUUCUGGACCGUAACUGACGCUGAGACACGAAAGCGUGGGUAGCAAACAGG